rnacentral:rRNA from 1 species
UACAUAGGGUGCAAGCGUUGUCCGGAAUUAUUGGGCGUAAAGAGCUCGUAGGUUGUUUGACACGUCGGAUGUGAAAAUCUGAGGCUUAACCUCAGACCUGCAUUCGAUACGGUCUUACUAGAGUGUGGUAGGGGAGACUGGAAUUCCUGGUGUAGCGGUGGAAUGCGCAGAUAUCAGGAGGAACACCAAUGGCGAAGGCAGGUCUCUGGGCCAUUACUGACACUGAGGAGCGAAAGCGCGGGGAGCGAACAGGAUUAGAUACCCUGGUAGUCCGCGCCGUAAACGGUGGGCACUAGUUGUGGGAACCUUCCACGGUUUCCGCGACGCAGCUAACGCAUUAAGUGCCCCGCCUGGGGAGUACGAUCGCAAGAUUAAA